rnacentral:rRNA from 1 species
CUACGGGUGGCUGCAGUUAGGAAUAUUCUACAAUGCGCGCAAGCGUGAUAGAUUGAACCAGAGUGCUUUUCAUAUGAAAAGCUUUUGUUAAAUGUAAAAAGUUUGACGAAUAAGGACUGGGUAAGACGAGUGCCAGCCGCCGCGGUAAUACUCGCGGUCCAAGUCGCAGCCAUAUUUAUUGGGUCUAAAACAUCCGUAGCUUGUCUGGUAAGUUUCUUGUGAAAUUUUGUAUCUUAAGUACAAAGAAUGCGAGAAGUACUGCCAAACUAGAGACUGGAAGACGUAAGAAGUACAUUCGAAGUAGCGGUUAAAUGUGUUAAUCUCGGAUGGACUAACAAUUAGCGAAGGCAUCUUACGAGGACAGUUCUGACAGUAAGGGAUGAAGGCUAGGGGCGCGAAUGGGAUUAGAUACCCCUGUAGUC